rnacentral:rRNA from 1 species
UACUAAAAUGGCUGUUUUUAUGACCCGUUAUUUUUAAUAUUACAUCCUUGGAACCUCUUAAGUUAAAAAGUUAAUAAAUUUUACCUUUGGUAUAAUGGUUAUACUAGAAAUAUAUUGUAUAAUAUUUCCCGAAAUGAGAAGAGCUACUCACUAGCCCUUAGUAGAGGAUCAAAAAAUUAUGUAGAAAUAUAAUUAAAAGACUAGUAAGUAGGAGCGAAAAACUUUCAAUUCUUAAGAUAUCUGGAACGUCCAAAAAAGCAUUUAGUGCUGUGAAGUUAAAUACGAAGUGAUCAAUUUUUGUAUAAAUAGAAUAGGAGAUUCUUAUUUUUUCUCUAAAGUUAACCCUAAAGAAAUUUUAAAACUUAAAUAUUAAUUACUGAUUAUAUCUAACUAGUACGGACGAUUUCUAAUAAAUUAAAUAUUAGAAAUGAUAAUGUAUAAAUGAGUAGUCUAUAGUUAUAAUGUUGGAAUAAUCAUAAUAUAUGUUUCGAGCAAUUAUAAUGAAAAAUUACCUGAAAGGAACUCGGCAAAAAUAAACUUCGGCUGUUUAACAAAAACAUAGCCUGAGGAAAUUUAAUCUCAGGUUAAACCUGCCCAAUGUUACUUCUAUCAAUGGCCGCGGUACUUUGACCGUGCUAAGGUAGCGCAAUCAAUUGGCUUUUAAUUGAAGCCAUGUAUGAAUGGAAUCACGGGGUUUAGCUGUCUCUUAGCUAAUCUAUCGAAAUUACUAUUUAGGUGAAAAAGCCUAAAGAAAGAAAAAAGACGAGAAGACCCUUAGAGUUUUUCUAAAUUGGAAUUAUUUUUCGAAAAGUUUAGUUGGGGCAACAUAGGAACAAUCAAUAACCUCCUGUAAUUUAUAAACCGAUGAUUAUAAAAAUGAAUAAACUACCUUAGGGAUAACAGCAUAAUUUUAUAAAUAAGUUUGUGACCUCGAUGUUGGACUAGGAAACUGAAGGGCUAGCCGCCUUUCAGGAAAGUUCUGUUCGAACUAUUAUUCCU